UACGUAGUGACCUGCGGAGGAUCAUUACUAGAGCAAAGGAUAGACAGCGCCCGCGGAGCUCGCUCCCGGGGCUACCCUACUCCCGUAGGGUUUAGAGUCGUCGGGCCUCUCGGAGAAGCUCGGUCCUGAACUCCACCCUUGAAUAAACUACCUUUGUUGCUUUGGCGGGCCGCCUCGUGCCAGCGGCUUCGGCUGUUGAGUGCCCGCCAGAGGACCCCAACUCUUGUUUUUAGUGAUGUCUGAGUACUAUAUAAUAGUUAAAACUUUCAACAACGGAUCUCUUGGUUCUGGCAUCGAUGAAGAACGCAGCGAAAUGCGAUAAGUAAUGUGAAUUGCAGAAUUCAGUGAAUCAUCGAAUCUUUGAACGCACAUUGCGCCCUCUGGUAUUCCGGGGGGCAUGCCUGUUCGAGCGUCAUUAUAACCACUCAAGCUCUCGCUUGGUAUUGGGGUUCGCGGUUUCGCGGCCCCUAAAAUCAGUGGCGGUGCCUGUCGGCUCUACGCGUAGUAAUACUCCUCGCGAUUGAGUCCGGUAGGUCUACUUGCCAGCAACCCCUAAUUUUUUUUAAGGUUGACCUCGGAUCAGGUAGGGAUACCCGCUGAACUUAAGCAUAUCAAA
rnacentral:rRNA from 1 species